UUCAGGAGCUCCACCUUGCGAUGAGACACAGACACACAGCAGCUAGACUGCUGCAAAGCAGGUCCGGGAAUGCAAGGGUACUUUCUCUCUUUAUCUGUAACCUGCUCUGUCUAAAGCAGAAGAUUUAUAAGACCCCCCACCCCACGUCUUCAUGAAGAGUCUACCAACACAGGAAAUAAUAAAGAUGAACAAUAAAAGAACGAGAGAGAUCCACAUACAUAUGCACCCUGUGAAAACAAAUUACAUUCUGUUCACAUAAACUCUUCAGCAGCUGAUAAGAGCAAUGUCCAGAUUUCUUGAAAACAGGAUGAAACUGCCAGGACCCCUUCUAGAAGGUAAUCAUUUAUGGAAUAACCACAAAUGCGAUCAAUCAAG